UACGGAGGAUCCAAGCGUUAUCCGGAUUUAUUGGGUUUAAAGGGUGCGUAGGCGGAUUGAUAAGUUAGAGGUGAAACGUCCGAGCUCAACUCGGGAACUGCCUCUAAUACUGUUGAUCUAGAGAGUAGAUGCGGUAGGCGGAAUGUAUGGUGUAGCGGUGAAAUGCUUAGAGAUCAUACAGAACACCGAUUGCGAAGGCAGCUUACCAAUCUAUAUCUGACGUUGAGGCACGAAAGCGUGGGGAGCAAACAGG
rnacentral:rRNA from 1 species